CCGUGAAGAGAACAUCUGGAACGAUGUCGUUAUUUGAAAGGGAGACAGCUAUCUGGACUGUGAGCUGUCCUAACCUGCCCAGACAUGCUAUGAUGACUUCACAGCUGACGUCACGGGAUGUCCGGAACUGGUGGUCACAGCUGUGGUGCUUUGCAGCCUGCCUCUGUGCUCCGUUGGCCAGCAAUGGUCAGCGGCGGUUCCGGACCGCUUUCUUCAAGAUGGCGUCGUUGAUCUUCAAUGGAACCACAAAAGCAAAUGCUGAGCCUGAUGCCGUCGUCGAUCCGUCAGUCGAAACUACAGUUCUGCUACAGUGACACUUCAUCAUAGGUAGACAAUGCUCGCAAAGCACUGCAAUGGGCAGAGUGGACUUGGGGUGGUGCACUUCAGGCACGGAUAACGUUAUGCACGUGUACGUAUAUUGUUUUA